UACGAAUGGAGCAAGCGUUGUUCGGAAUCACUGGGCUUAAAGCGUAUGUAGGCGGACUAUCAAGUCAGGAGUGAAAUCCCAGAGCUCAACUCUGGAACUGCUCUUGAAACUGAUAGUCUAGAAUUCUGGAGAGGUUGGGAGAAUUCCGAGUGUAGAGGUGAAAUUCGCAGAUAUUCGGAGGAAUACCAGUGGCGUAGGCGCCCAACUGGACAGAUAUUGACGCUCAGAUACGAAAGCGUGGGGAGCAAACAGG
rnacentral:rRNA from 1 species